rnacentral:lncRNA from 1 species
AUGCCACACAUAGCUUUUAUUAGCAGGGAGCUAUUAUCACCAGCUAAAACCGUGCUUUCUUUAAGCACUAUCCCACUCCCCCCCCCCCCCCCCCCUUCUCUCUUUCAACAACAACCACCAAACAAAAGCAAAAAACAAACAAACAAAAACCCUACAGCACACCAUCAAAAAAGUUUAACAGCACAAAGAUCAUUUUCAGCUCCUAGUUGGAAGACCAUGACCAUGGGAAUGAUAAACUCACAGUCAACUCCAAAUCUGUGCAGGAUUCGCUGCUUCAGCUGAAUGCACAUAAGUCUAUGGGGCCCAAUGGGAUUCAUCCCAGGGUCCUGAUUGUUGAUAUCACAAGACCUUCCUCAUUUAUUUUUCAGUGAUCUUGGGAAUCUGGAGAGAUCCCUAUCAACUGGAAGCAGGAAAACAUUGUCCUCAUUUUCAAGAAGGGCAAGAAAGAAGACCCCGGUAAUUACAGGCCUGUUGGCCUCACUUCAGUGCCUGGUAAAAUUAUGGAGAACAUUAUUCUGGGAGUUAUUGAAAAAUGUCUGAAAGACAAUGCCAUUUUUGGUCAUAGCCAACACAGGUUCAUGAGAGGAAAAUCCUACUGAAUGAACUUAAUUUCCUUUUCUGACAAGGACACCCAUCUAGUUGACCAAGGGAAGACAGAUGAUGUAAUCUUUUUGGACUUCAGCAAAGCUUUUGAUACUGUUUCUUGCUGUAUCCUUCUGGACAAAAUGUCCAUCAUACAGCUAGACAAAUACAUAGUGUGAUGGGUGAACAACUGACUGAGAGGUUGGGCUCAAAGGGUUGUAGUAAAUGGGGUUACAUCAGGCUGGUGUCCAGUCACCAGUGGGGUAGAGCAGGGCUACAUUUGAGGGCAAGUUCAAUUUAACAUUUCCAUAAAUGACGUGGAUGAAGGACUUGAAGGUAUACUAAGGUAUACUAAGUAAGCGUGUGGACAAAACUAAACUGGGAGGAGCUGUUGACUCCACAGUUGAGGAGCUGGUAGAGAGGCCUUGCAGAGAGAUCUUGACCAAUUAGAGG